GUUCCCUACGGGGCGCAGCAGUGGGGAGUAUUGCACAAUGGGGGAAACCCUGAUGCAGCGACGCCGCGUGAGCGAAGAAGUAUUUCGGUAUGUAAAGCUCUCUCAGCAGGGAAGAGAAAUGACGGUACCUGAGUAAGAAGCACCGGCCAAAUACGUGCCAGCAGCCGCGGUAAUACGUAUGGUGCAAGCGUUAUCCGGAUUUACUGGGUGUAAAGGGAGCGCAGGCGGUGCGGCAAGUCUGAUGUGAAAGCCCGGGGCUCAACCCCGGGACUGCAUUGGAAACUACCGUACUAGAGUGUCGGAGA
rnacentral:rRNA from 1 species